rnacentral:sRNA from 1 species
CUGGGCGUCUGGACACAGGCCUGUGUUGUUCCGGGCACGGCCCUGUGUUCAGAUCCAGUGGAGACACAGUAGGGCCUGUAGCUCAGAGGAUUAGAGCACGUGGCUACGAACCACGGUGUCGGGGGUUCGAAUCCCUCCUCGCCCAC